rnacentral:lncRNA from 1 species
UGCGAGUGAGGACAAAGCACACUCGAAAGUCUCGUGGUGAUUUGUGGGGGCAGUCAACAGUCCCUGUAAGUUGCCGGGACGUUACAAAUGGUAUCAGAGCCUAGCCUCUCCCAGUACGGUGUGGUUCGAGGAUGAACCAAGCGGAAGCUGGUGGGCAUGUGACGCCCGGGCACUGACGAGGGCGGGGAGUGAUCGCCGGUGCAAGAAGCAUGGUGCAGGGGGCACGGACAAGGAGCGGCUCCUGGCAGGCUUCGAGUGGAAGGGGCACAUGGACGAAUCGAACAUACACCGGAAUGAGAGGG